rnacentral:tRNA from 1 species
AUAGCCGAGUCUUGAGGUCAUCCUUAGGUCGGAUGGGGCGGUCAGAGAGCUUUCAAACUUUAGGGUUCGUGUUAUGGGCUAUUAGCUCAGGUGGUUAGAGCGCACCCCUGAUAAGGGUGAGGUCCCUGGUUCAAGUCCAGGAUGGCCCACAUCCACCCCAAACUGGGGGUAUAGCUCAGUUGGUAGAGCGCUGCCUUUGCACGGCAGAAGUCAGCGGUUCGAGUCCGCUUACCUCCACUCUCCUAGAAUUAGGUGCUAGUUGGGGUGAGGUAGUCUUGAAUUGAGAAAUUGAGAGUUGGUGACUGUACAGCUCCUAAGUCUGUAGAUGUUAAUCUAGGACUAGAUAGCUGGACAUAAGUUCCAGUCAGAACCUUGAAAACUGCAUAGAGAAAAGCAUAAUGGUGUAGGAAAACGUCGUAAAGACAAUUCC